rnacentral:ribozyme from 14 species
UUUUUAUUUUUAUUUUUGUUUUUUUUUCUUCUUUUUUAGGUACGAGACGGGUGAAAAACAAGAGGACGACGUUGGCGUUGAAUGGAUAGAGAAGAAAUCGAGGAAUUU